GCCGCUGUAGCUCAGUGGUAGAGCGUCCCAUUGGUAAUGGGGAGGCCGGAAGUUCGAUCCUUCCCAGCGGCACCA
rnacentral:tRNA from 1 species